rnacentral:rRNA from 1 species
CAAUAGCGUAUAUUAAAGUUGUUGCAGUUAAAAAGCUCGUAGUUGGAUUUGUGGUUCGUCCCGCCGGCUGGGUCAUUGACCUUUGCUGUGCUGGUCGUCCAUCCUUGGGUGGAAUCUGUGUGGCAUUAGGUUGUCGCGCAGGGGAUGCCCAUCGUUUACUGUGAAAAAAUUAGAGUGUUCAAAGCAGGCUUAUGCCGUUGAAUAUAUUAGCAUGGAAUAAUGAUAUAGGACCUUGGUACUAUUUUGUUGGUUUGCGCACUGAGGUAAUGAUUAAUAGGGACAGUUGGGGGUAUUCGUAUUCCAUUGUAAGAGGUGAAAUUCUUGGAUUUUUGGAAGACGAACUACUGCGAAAGCAUUUACCAAGGAUGUUUUCAUUAG